CUAGUACUCUCUCCGUCCUGAAUUACUUGUUAUAGAAAUGAUAAAAAUAAUAUAUCUAGAAUUAAAAUACGUCUAAAUGCAUUUCUUUCCGCGACAAGUAAUUCUGGACGGAGGGAGUAUUUC
rfam:Triticum aestivum genome assembly, contig: Triticum_aestivum_CS42_TGACv1_scaffold_641865_T_2DS-0.200240_7DS-0.133017